GCCCACGUAGCUCAGGAGGCAGAGCACAAUCUUGGUAAGAUUGAGGUCCCGGGUUCGAGUCCCGGCGUGGGCUCCA
rnacentral:tRNA from 3 species